GGGGCUAUAGCUCAGUUGGGAGAGCGCCUGGAUCGCACCCAGGAGGUCGCCGGUUCGAGCCCGGCUAGCUCCACCU
rnacentral:tRNA from 1 species